rnacentral:snRNA from 1 species
GUAAAUACAUCUUUCUUCCCUCACAAUUACAUAUGAAUCUUUCUUGAAGCUACACCUUGAUGAAAGAGUAUUAUUUUACCAGACUGAAAAGGCUCAUUCUUCUGUCUAGGGCAUACAAAUAACUCCAGUUGCCUUGUUAAUCUUGAGGAAAUAGUCUUUUUGGAUGAAAAUCAAGGAAAGAAAGACUUUAUACAGUUUGAUGUGCUGAAAGACUGUGAAAA